GAUGAACGCUGGCGGCGUGCUUAACACAUGCAAGUCGAACGAGAGAAGAUUGGUGCUUGCACUGAUCCGAUCGAGUGGCGGACGGGUGAGUAACGCGUGGGUAACCUGCCUCAUACAGGGGAAUAACAGUUGGAAACGGCUGCUAAAACCGCAUAAGCGCACAGUAUCGCAUGAUACAGUGUGAAAAACUCCGGUGGGAUAGAGAUGGACCCGCGGCUGAGUAGCUAGUUGGUGAGGUAACGGCCCACCAAGGCAACGAUAAGUAGCCGGCGUGAGAGGGUGAACGGCCACAUGGGGACGGAGACACCGCCCAAACUCCUGCGGGAGGCAGCAGUGGGGAAUAUUGCACAGUGGGGGAAACCCUGCUGCAGCGACGCCGCGUGAGUGAGGAAGUAUUUCGGUAUGUAAAGCUCUAUCAGCAGGGAAGAUAAUGACGGUACCUGACUAAGAAGCACCGGCUAAAUACGUGCCAGCCGCCGCGGUAA
rnacentral:rRNA from 1 species